GACGAACGCUGGCGGCGUGCCUAAUACAUGCAAGUAGAACGCUGAAGGAGGAGCUUGCUUCUCCGGAUGAGUUGCGAACGGGUGAGUAACGCGUAGGUAACCUGCCUGGUAGCGGGGGAUAACUAUUGGAAACGAUAGCUAAUACCGCAUAACAGUAGAUAUCGCAUGAUAUCUGCUUGAAAGGUGCAAUUGCAUCACUACCAGAUGGACCUGCGUUGUAUUAGCUAGUUGGUGAGGUAACGGCUCACCAAGGCGACGAUACAUAGCCGACCUGAGAGGGUGAUCGGCCACACUGGGACUGAGACACGGCCCAGACGCCUACGGGAGGCAGCAGUAGGGAAUCUUCGGCAAUGGACGGAAGUCUGACCGAGCAACGCCGCGUGAGUGAAGAAGGUUUUCGGAUCGUAAAGCUCUGUUGUAAGAGAAGAACGAGUGUGAGAGUGGAAAGUUCACACUGUGACGGUAUCUUACCAGAAAGGGACGGCUAACUACGUG
rnacentral:rRNA from 1 species